UAGAGUUUGAUCAUGGCUCAGAGCGAACGCUGGCGGCAUGCUUAACACAUGCAAGUCGCACGAAGGCUUCGGCCUUAGUGGCGGACGGGUGAGUAACGCGUAGGAAUCUAUCCAUGGGUGGGGGAUAACACUGGGAAACUGGUGCUAAUACCGCAUGAUACCUGAGGGUCAAAGGCGCAAGUCGCCUGUGGAGGAGCCUGCGUUCGAUUAGCUAGUUGGUGGGGAAAGGCCUACCAAGGCGAUGAUCGAUAGCUGGUUUGAGAGGAUGAUCUGCCACACUGGGACUGAGACAAGGCCCAGACUCCUACGGGAGGCAGCAGUGGGGAAUAUUGGACAAUGGGGGCAACCCUGAUCCAGCAAUGCCGCGUGUGUGAAGAAGGUCUUCGGAUUGUAAAGCACUUUCGACGGGGACGAUGAUGACGGUACCCGUAGAAGAAGCCCCGGCUAACUUCGUGCCAGCAGCCGCGGUAAU
rnacentral:rRNA from 1 species